rnacentral:rRNA from 1 species
AGAUUGAACGCUGGCGGCAUGCCUUACACAUGCAAGUCGAACGGCAGCACGGGGGCAAUCCUGGUGGCGAGUGGCGAACGGGUGAGUAAUACAUCGGAACGUGCCCAAUCGUGGGGGAUAACGCAGCGAAAGCUGUGCUAAUACCGCAUAAGAUCUACGGAUGAAAGCAGGGGAUCGCAAGACCUUGCGCGAAUGGAGCGGCCGAUGGCAGAUUAGGUAGUUGGUGAGGUAAAGGCUCACCAAGCCUUCGAUCUGUAGCUGGUCUGAGAGGAUGAUCAGCC